CUGGUGCGUCUGGCCCAUCGUUAAGUAGUUGCGGCUAUCGAUGGAGCGCCAGAUACGAUCGCCAUAACUCACGCAUCGACUGCGGGGAUCGAGGAACCUACGCAUUCCGCACCAUCACGCACGCAGCAGCCAUUGCCUUCCCCCCUCACGCCCAGAUCAUCAUGGCAGAUGAACCAGGAGAGCUCGCUCAAUGAUCGAACGAGGCUCGGAUCUAACGAACGCGGUGCGCGCCGGAUCGGAGAUCAGCGGCGGACACGUGCUGUUGUUUGUAGUUUAUAUUGCCCUAGACAGCGCCGGAUCGGACAGCGAUCUCAAAGGAUCAAGCGAAGAACAAGGUUCUGGAUGCUGGCGGUUGAUUUAUAUAUGAACUGAGCAAUGACGGCGCAAUUGGGUUUACAUGAAGAGGGAGAAUGCCGUCAGCUGGAAUUCUGUAC